rnacentral:ncRNA from 2 species
AAAUAAUCCGGGCAAACUUAAGCGAAAGCUAAGGACGCAAAACCAUGGGUCUAAGGUCACUAAUGACGAUGAUUGCCAGGUUUCUUAA